rnacentral:rRNA from 1 species
UACGUAGGGGGCAAGCGUUGUCCGGAAUUAUUGGGCGUAAAGAGCUCGUAGGCGGUCUGUUGCGUCGGCUGUGAAAACCCGAGGCUCAACCUCGGGCCUGCAGCCGAUACGGGCAGACUAGAGUUCGGCAGGGGAGACUGGAAUUCCUGGUGUAGCGGUGGAAUGCGCAGAUAUCAGGAGGGAACACCCGGUGGCGAAGGCGGGUCUCUGGGCAGUAACUGACGCUGGAGGAGCGAAAAGCGUGGGGAGCGAACAGG